UACCUGCGUGCAAAGCUUCUGCAUUGAA
rnacentral:sRNA from 1 species